UAGGGAAUCUUCGGCAAUGGACGAAAGUCUGACCGAGCAACGCCGCGUGAGUGAAGAAGGUCUUCGGAUCGUAAAACUCUGUUGUUAGAGAAGAACAAGGACGUUAGUAACUGAACGUCCCCUGACGGUAUCUAACCAGAAAGCCACGGCUAACUACGUGCCAGCAGCCGCGGUAAUACGUAGGUGGCAAGCGUUGUCCGGAUUUAUUGGGCGUAAAGCGAGCGCAGGCGGUUUCUUAAGUCUGAUGUGAAAGCCCCCGGCUCAACCGGGGAGGGUCAUUGGAAACUGGGAGACUUGAGUGCAGAAGAGGAGAGUGGAAUUCCAUGUGUAGCGGUGAAAUGCGUAGAUAUAUGGAGGAACACCAGUGGCGAAGGCGGCUCUCUGGUCUGUAACUGACGCUGAGGCUCGAAAGCGUGGGGAGCAAACA
rnacentral:rRNA from 1 species